rnacentral:rRNA from 1 species
CAAUAGCGUAUAUUUAAGUUGUUGCAGUUAAAAAGCUCGUAGUUGGAUUUCGGGUGGGAAUGGCCGGUCCGCCGUUUCGGUGUGCACUUGCUACGCCCACCUUGCUGCCGGGGACGUGCUCUUGAGUUCACGCUCGGGACACGGAGUCGGCGAGGUUACUUUGAGUAAAUUAGAGUGUUCAAAGCAGGCCUACGCUCUGAAUACAUUAGCAUGGAAUAACACGAUAGGACUCUGGCCUAUCUUGUUGGUCUGUAGGACCGGAGUAAUGAUUAAGAGGGACAGUCGGGGCAUUCGUAUUUCAUUGUCAGAGGUGAAAUUCUUGGAUUUAUGAAAGACGAACUACUGCGAAAGCAUUUGCCAAGGAUGUUUUCAUUAA